rnacentral:tRNA from 1 species
GGCGCAGGCCGGUAGCGCGCCUGGUUUGGGACCAGGAGGUCGCCGGUUCGAAUCCGGC